UACAUUAAGGUGUGCAGGUCCAAAUCAGUG
rnacentral:piRNA from 1 species